rnacentral:rRNA from 1 species
UAAUACGGAGGAUGCGAGCGUUAUCCGGAUUCAUUGGGUUUAAAGGGUGCGUAGGCGGACUAUUAAGUCAGUGGUGAAAUCCUGCAGCUUAACUGCAGAACUGCCAUUGAUACUGAUAGCCUUGAGUUUGGUUAAGGUAGGCGGAAUGUGUAAUGUAGCGGUGAAAUGCUUAGAUAUUACACAGAACACCAAUUGCGUAGGCAGCUUACUGAGCCGACACUGACGCUGAGGCACGAAAGCGUGGGGAUCGAACAGGAUUAGAUACCCUGGUAGUCCACGCCGUAAACGAUGAUUACUCGCUGUUGGCGAUACACUGUCAGCGGCUAAGCAAAAGCAAUAAGUAAUCCACCUGGGGAGUACGGCCGCAAGGUUGAAACUCAAAGGAAUUGACGG